rnacentral:rRNA from 1 species
AUUGAACGCUGGCGGAAUGCUUUACACAUGCAAGUCGAACGAAGCCUUCGGGCUUAGUGGCGCACGGGUGCGUAACGCGUGGGAAUCUGCCCUUGGGUUCGGAAUAACAGUUAGAAAUGACUGCUAAUACCGGAUGAUGUCUUCGGACCAAAGAUUUAUCGCCCAAGGAUGAGCCCGCGUAGGAUUAGGUAGUUGGUGGGGUAAUGGCCCACCAAGCCGACGAUCCUUAGCUGGUCUGAGAGGAUGAUCAGCCACACUGGGACUGAGACACGGCCCAGACUCCUACGGGAGGCAGCAGUGGGGAAUAUUGGACAAUGGGCGAAAGCCUGAUCCAGCAAUGCCGCGUGAGUGAUGAAGGCCUUAGGGUUGUAAAGCUCUUUUACCAGGGAUGAUAAUGACAGUACCUGGAGAAUAAGCUCCGGCUAACUCCGUGCCAGCCGCCGCAGUAA